rnacentral:rRNA from 1 species
AUACGUGCCAGCAGCCGCGGUAAUACGUAUGGUGCAAGCGUUAUCCGGAUUUACUGGGUGUAAAGGGAGCGUAGACGGAGAAGCAAGUCUGGAGUGAAAGCCCGGGGCUCAACCCCGGGACUGCUUUGGAAACUGUUUGUCUAGAGUGCCGGAGAGGUAAGCGGAAUUCCUAGUGUAGCGGUGAAAUGCGUAGAUAUUAGGAGGAACACCAGUGGCGAAGGCGGCUUACUGGACGGUAACUGACGUUGAGGCUCGAAAGCGUGGGGAGCA